GAUGAACGCUGGCGGCGUGCCUAAUACAUGCCAGUCGAGCGAACAGACGAGGAGCUUGCUCCUUCGACGUUAGCGGCGGACGGGUGAGUAACACGUAGGUAACCUACCUAUAAGACUGGGAUAACUUCGGGAAACCGGAGCUAAUACCGGAUAAUAUUUCGAACCGCAUGGUUCGAUAGUGAAAGAUGGCUUUGCUAUCACUUAUAGAUGGACCUGCGCCGUAUUAGCUAGUUGGUAAGGUAACGGCUUACCAAGGCAACGAUACGUAGCCGACCUGAGAGGGUGAUCGGCCACACUGGAACUGAGACACGGUCCAGACUCCUACGGGAGGCAGCAGUAGGGUAUCUUCCGCAAUGGGCGAAAGCCUGACGGAGCAACGCCGCGUGAGUGAUGAAGGUCUUCGGAUCGUAAAACUCUGUUAUUAGGGAAGAACAAACGUGUAAGUAACUGUGCACGUCUUGACGGUACCUAAUCAGAAAGCCACGGCUAACUACGUG
rnacentral:rRNA from 1 species